rnacentral:rRNA from 1 species
GAUGAACGCUGGCGGCGUGCUUAACACAUGCCAGUCGAACGGAAAGGCCCAAGCUUGCUUGGGUGCUCGAGUGGCGAACGGGUGAGUAACACGUGGGUGAUCUGCCCUGCACUUUGGGAUAAGCCUGGGAAACUGGGUCUAAUACCGGAUAGGACCAUCGUUUAGUGUCGGUGGUGGAAAGUUUUUCGGUGUGGGAUGAGCUCGCGGCCUAUCAGCUUGUUGGUGGGGUAAUGGCCUACCAAGGCGUCGACGGGUAGCCGGCCUGAGAGGGUGUACGGCCACAUUGGGACUGAGAUACGGCCCAGACGCCUACGGGAGGCAGCAGUGGGGAAUAUUGCACAAUGGGCGCAAGCCUGAUGCAGCGACGCCGCGUGGGGGAGGACGGCUUUCGGGUUGUAAACUCCUUUCGCCAAGGACGAAGCGUUUUGUGACGGUACUUGGAGAAGAAGCACCGGCUAACUACGUG